AGUGAGGCGACAGAUUGAGGGAGCAGUGCCACGUUGACAUCACGAUGCAUCAGCUGGGAACCGUACGCUUUCCAAAACCCAUCAGGCUAAGUCAGAGUACAUGCAAGGUGCCGACAGCGCAGUUCGCACCCUCAUCCCAGCACUCCAAGAAUCAUUCGAAUGGCCGACAUAUCCCUUGCGAUGCCAGACCGACCCGGCCCAACCACCACCCAGCGGCGUACGUGCAUCGAUUUGACGUUGUCAAAGGAUGUGACUGCAGUUGCGAGUGAA